rnacentral:rRNA from 1 species
CUACGGGCCGCUCCAGUGGGGAAUAUUGGACAAUGGGGGAAAACCCUGAUCCAGCAAUGCCGCGUGUGUGAAGAAGGCCUGCGGGUUGUAAAGCACUUUCGGUUGGGAGGACUGCUUCUAGCACUAAUAUUGUUGGAAGUUGACGUUACCUUCAGAAGAAGCACCGGCUAACUCCGUGCCAGCAGCCGCGGUGAAUACGGAGGGUGCAAGCGUUAAUCGGAAUUACUGGGCGUAAAGCGCGCGUAGGCGGCUAGAUCAGUCGGGUGUGAAAGCCCCGGGCUUAACCUGGGAACUGCAUCCGAUACUGUCUAGCUUGAGUACAGGAGAGGAGAGUGGAAUUCCACAUGUAGCGGUGAAAUGCGUAGAUAUGUGGAGGAACACCAAUGGCGAAGGCAGCUCUCUGGCCUGAUACUGACGCUGAGGUGCGAAAGCGUGGGGAGCAAACAGGAUUAGAUACCCGUGUAGUC